rnacentral:misc_RNA from 1 species
UUGGGCGCGAGCGCUCACGCUCGCCCCCUCGCCAUCUUCCCUUAUGUGCGGGCUCGAUGUCCGGCUUUGGCACGGCAAGGCCACGACGCGCUCGGCUCCUGCGUGGCGGACGCGGCCUCGCCCGGCCACGACGGCUUCAGGAGCAGGUCCAAGGUGGCUACCAGCUACCAGUUGGAGCCACGGGCGCUCGACGGCUGGCGGCGGCCCAUGGCGGCGGCUGUUGGCGGCGGUUAG